UUUACUAUCCUUUUGUAACA
rnacentral:siRNA from 1 species